rnacentral:rRNA from 1 species
CACAUCGCCCGUCCACACCAUGGGAGUUGGCUGCACCAGAAGCCGGUAGUCUAACCGCAAGGGGGACGCCGUCCACGGUGUGGUCAAGUGACGUGGGGUG